rnacentral:rRNA from 1 species
GACGAACGCUGGCGGCGUGCCUAAUACAUGCAAGUAGAACGCUGAAGGAGGAGCUUGCUCUUCUGGAUGAGUUGCGAACGGGUGAGUAACGCGUAGGUAACCUGCCUUGUAGCGGGGGAUAACUAUUGGAAACGAUAGCUAAUACCGCAUAACAGUAGAUGUUGCAUGACAUUUACUUAAAAGUUGCAAUUGCAUCACUACCACACGGAGCUGCGUUGUAUUAGCUAGUUGUUGGGGUUACGGCGCACUAAGGCGACGAUGCAUAGUCGACAUGAGAUGGGGAGCGGCCGGACUGGGACGGAGACAGGGCACAGACGGCUACGGAAGGCAGCAGUAGGGAAACUUCGGCAAUGGACGGAAGUCUGACCGAGCAACGCCGCGUGAGUGAAGAAGGUUGUCGGGUCGUGAAGCACUGUUGUAAGAGAAGAACGAGUGUGAGAGUGGAAAGUUCACACUGUGACGGUAACUUAUCAGAAAGGGACGGCUAACUACGUG